rnacentral:lncRNA from 1 species
GCCCGAAGUCCACGGUACGCCGGUUUCUUCUGGCUACCUACAAGACGAAGCCGCCGCCGCUUUGGACUGUAUGGGAAAAGAAUUCAUCUCCUACCAGAGUUACAACACUGGUCAAUACGAGUAGCCGUAAUCAGACAGACAGCUCUCGGCGACCAACGCGAUCGCCAACUCGAAUGUCGCGUGUGUUGCCCAGUAACCGAUAUGCGGCAUGCCCAUGUAGGCAGUCCGUUUUCUUCUUUGAUCGCGUCCUCGUCACACGCUGAAUCGGUGGGUACGGAUCGUCGGCAGCGCUUCUUACACCUGCAGCAACGACCCUCGGAGGCCCCCCGGCCGGUUAAUGGCAGUUCGGGAUUUAGCGGGGCGCCGAGACGCCGACAGACGUCCCCCUGCCCCCCGCAUAC